rnacentral:lncRNA from 1 species
GCGUAUAAAGACAAAGGUCCAAUAAUUUUUAACACAUGAAACAAUGGUCCCGCUUAUUAAAAGACAAGAUGCAAUCAUCAAUGAGAAGAUUCGCUUGCUUUCGCUCCCUUUUUCAGUUUUUCUCCUUUUCUCCUUUGUUUUCAUUGUUAUCUGCGAAUCUCAGUCAAAGAAACAAACCUGGUCGAACAAGUUCAUCACAAGAACAAGAGAGAAGAAAGUAGAAGUACGCCCAGCUUUACAUUCAUAAUUAAUCGUCUUUAAGUUUUGUUGCACUCGAUUUUAAAAUGUGUGGAUUUGGACGGGAAGCAGCUGGACAUACCUUGCAUUGUAUUCCGAAAUACGAGGCUUCUCUCGAUCGCAAGAAAAGAGAGUCUGAUUCACCGUCCAUCCAAUGUUGUGAGCGUUAUAGAUUGGAGGAGCUUUGCGCUGGGUGUGACAGGCAUGUGUGCAAAGAAUGUAAUUAGUUUUUUUUUUUAUAUAGAAAAAAGCAUAUUCUAAGAG